rnacentral:tRNA from 1 species
CGCGGGGUGGAGCAGUUGGUAGCUCGUCGGGCUCAAGAACGUAUUUCCAAAUGAUGGCAGCAGUGCCGUUUUGAUACUCUGAUACGCAGUUUAUCGAUUAGCCGAAAGGCUAAUAUUUGGUCUUGCUUGGGCUGCUUCGGUGGAAACGCCGGAGUGAACAUUCAUCAAAUUCGGGGAAGCCUUUAGUAUGGUAAUCCCGAGCCAAGCCCUGACGCAGUCAGGGAAGGUGUAGAGACUUAAUGGUGAACACCGUAGUAUUCGUGAAAGCGUGUACCGGUGAAGAGAAAGUCCAGACCAUCAAAUCCGUUCUUCGGAACGGGCGUAGCGAAAGCUAUAGUGGUAAGCAUAACCCGAAGGUCGCAAGUUCGAGUCUUGCCCCCGCUA